rnacentral:lncRNA from 1 species
UAUAAUGGAAGGUGGCCAACCACAACCAGAAAACUGAAUGAAUUUCUGAUAUGUCUCACAAUGCAUACAGCUAAGUCUCUGGGAUGAGGGUCUGUAAUUUUUUCUAGAAGAAGAAAAAUACUCUCCAAGCAGCUCAGUUGCUCCCAAAUGGAUAGUAGCCCGAUCAAACAUGACAGAAACUUUAAGGUGAUACCUUCACCUUCAAAUCGGCUACAGCAGAACUAGCACGGAUACCAAGCCAACAACACCUACAAUUCAAAACCAGAAAAUAAAAAAUAAUUAAAAUUACAACAGUGAACCUCAAAGCAGAUCAUAAACACAAUAAAAAGACCUAGUCAUCAACAACCAAAUCACACACACACACACACAAACAUGUAUAUAUGGUCAAUAGAAAACCAAGCACUUAAGUUAUUAUCUCACACACACACAUAUCAGGUCAAUGGAAAACCAUGUACAUAAAUUAUUAUCACACACACAUAUAUCAAGUCAAUGGAAAACCAAGCACAUAAAUUAUUAUCACACACACAGACAUGUGAGAGUUUAAUUCUGUUUUGUGUGGGGUAGAUUUGUUUGUGCUUUGAAUAUAAGAGAGAGUAACAGAAUUUUAAAAUUCUGUUAUAAGUACUAGCCUAAGUGUGAAGGGUUAUUACUCUGUUUUUGCUUGUAUAAAAGGGCAUACAUACAUCUUAAUAAAGUGGAUUUAUUCAUUCUAUC